UAAAGUGGCGUACGGGUGAGUAACACGUGGAUCAUCUACCUCUUAGUGGGGGAAGUAAACUUUGGGAAACCGAAGCUAAUACCGCAUAAGCCUGGAAAGGGAAAGCAGCAAUGCGCUGAGAGAGGAGUCCGCGGUCGAUUAGCUUGUUGGCAGGGUAAAAGCCUACCAAGGCAUUGAUCGGUAGCCGGCCUGAGAGGGCACACGGCCACACUGGCACUGAAACACGGGCCAG
rnacentral:rRNA from 1 species